AUUGAACGCUGGCGGCAGGCCUAACACAUGCAAGUCGAACGAGUGGCGGACGGGUGAGUAAUGUCUGGGAAACUGCCUGAUGGCGGGGGAUAACUACUGGAAACGGUAGCUAAUACCGCAUACCAUCGGAUGUGCCCAAAUGGGAUUAGCUAGUAGGUGGGGUAAAGGCUCACCUAGGCGACGAUCCCUAGCUGGUCCGAGAGGAUGACCAGCGACACGGGAACUGUGACACGGACCAAACUCCUACGGGAGGCAGCGGUGGGGAAUAUUGCACAAUGGGAGAAAGCCUGAUGGAGACAUGCCGCGUGUAUGAAGAAGGCCUUCGGGUUGUAAAGUACUUUCAGCGGGGAGGCGUUACCCGCAGAAGAAGCACCGGCUAACUCCGUGCCAGCCGCCGCGGUAAUAC
rnacentral:rRNA from 1 species